rnacentral:rRNA from 1 species
UAGGGAAUCUUCGGCAAUGGACGGAAGUCUGACCGAGCAACGCCGCGUGAGUGAAGAAGGUUUUCGGAUCGUAAAACUCUGUUGUUAGAGAAGAACAAGGACGUUAGUAACUGAACGUCCCCUGACGGUAUCUAACCAGAAAGCCACGGCUAACUACGUGCCAGCAGCUGCGGUAAUACGUAGGUGGAAAGCGUUGUCCGGAUUUAUUGGCUGUAAAGCGAGCGCAGGCGGUUUCUUAAGUCUGAUGUGAAAGCCGCCGGAUCAACCGGGGAGGGUCAUUGGAAACUGGGAGAGUUGAGUGCAGAGGAGGAGAGUGUAAUUACAUGUGUAGCGGUGAAAUGCGUAGAUAUAUGGAGGAACACCAGUGGCGAAGGCGGAUCACUGGUCUGUAACUGACGCUGAGGCUAGAAAGCGUGGGGAGCAAACAGG